AUUGAACGCUGGCGGCAUGCUUUACACAUGCAAGUCGAACGGCAGCGCGGGCUUCGGCCUGGCGGCGAGUGGCGAACAGGUGAGUAAUACAUCGGAACGUGCCCAGUAGUGGGGGAUAGCUCGGCGAAAGCCGGAUUAAUACCGCAUACGACCUGAGGGUGAAAGCUGGGGAUCUUCGGACCUCGCGCUAUUGGAGCGGCCGAUGGCAGAUUAGCUAGUUGGUGGGGUAAAGGCCUACCAAGGCGACGAUCUGUAGCUGGUCUGAGAGGACGACCAGCCACACUGGGACUGAGACACGGCCCAGACUCCUACGGGAGGCAGCAGUGGGGAAUUUUGGACAAUGGGCGAAAGCCUGAUCCAGCAAUGCCGCGUGUGUGAUGAAGGCCUUCGGGUUGUAAAGCACUUUUGGCGGGAACGAAAAGGACUGUGCCAAUACCACGGUUCGAUGACGGUACCCGCAGAAUAAGCACCGGCUAACUACGUG
rnacentral:rRNA from 1 species